rnacentral:rRNA from 1 species
AGAAUCAACGCUGGCGGCGGUGCCUAACGACGAUGCAAGUCGAACGAGAAAGUGGAGCAAUCCAUGAGUAAAGUGGCGCACGGGUGAGUAACACGUGACUAACCUACCUUUUAGUGGGGGAUAACCUAGGGAAACCUGGGCUAAUACCGCAUAAUACCUACGGGUCAAAGCAGCAAUGCGCUGGAAGAGGGGGUCGCGGUCGAUUAGUUAGUUGGCAGGGUAAUGGCCUACCAAGACUGUGAUCGAUAUCCGGCCUGAGAGGGCGCACGGACACACUGGAACUGAAACACGGUCCAGACUCCUACGGGAGGCAGCAGUGGGGAAUUUUGCGCAAUGGGGGAAACCCUGACGCAGCAACGCCGCGUGGAGGAUGAAGUCCCUUGGGACGUAAACUCCUUUCGAUCGGGACGAUAAUGACGGUACCGGAAGAAGAAGCCCCGGCUAACUUCGUGCCAGCAGCCGC